rnacentral:rRNA from 1 species
UACGUAGGGGGCAAGCGUUAUCCGGAAUUACUGGGUGUAAAGGGAGCGUAGGCGGCAUGGUAAGUUAGAUGUGAAAGCCCGGGGCUUAACCCCGAGGAUUGCAUUUAAAACUAUCAAGCUAGAGUACAGGAGAGGAAAGCGGAAUUCCUAGUGUAGCGGUGAAAUGCGUAGAUAUUAGGAAGAACACCAGUGGCGAAGGCGGCUUUCUGGACUGAAACUGACGCUGAUGCUCGAAAGCGUGGGGAGCGAA